UACAGAGGCCUCGAGCGUUUAGGCGGAAUCACUGGGCUUAAAGCGUGUGUAGGCGGACUUCUAAGUGCCUUGUGAAAUCCCACGGCUCACCCGUGGAACUGCUGGGCAUACUGGGAGUCUUGAGCCACCUAGGGGCGAGCGGAACAAAUGGUGGAGCGGUGAAAUGCGUUGAUAUCCUAAGGAACACCGGUGGCGAAAGCGGCUCACUGGGGUCUCUUCUGACGCUGAGGCACGAAAGCUAGGGUAGCGAACGGGG
rnacentral:rRNA from 1 species